rnacentral:lncRNA from 12 species
GUUUCUUAUCUGCACAAGUCUUCCCCUGUCCUAACUCUAGAGCACUUCUUUUGACACAGCUGCCUAAGGAGCCACUGGCAGUGAGCCUCAUCAGAGUCAAAAGAAGACCUGAGGUAUCUACCAAGAACAUACAGUCAUCUGGCACCUGGCCCCAUCUUCAGGUCUGAGUGGAUCUUUGGGGGUAUCAAGCUCCUUUGUUCUGUAAGAGCAAAAAGUGGAUGUAUUUCCAGAACACAGAGUGGCUGGGAGAUGUGAGGUGCAAACAGAGUUCAAGCAGAAGUUUAAAUCAAACAAGACAUGAACUUCAGGGCUUCAAUGCUUUCUAAAUAAGUUACACACAGUCACAACAGUCUCAAAGGAGCUGAACAGCAAACAUGAACACAUCCCUAUGUAAUAAAUCACAGACAAGGAAACAAAGCAUUCACUGAGCAAGAGUGAAUGUUAGCACAUGCGAGCAUCUUGUGGAUGAGCUGUCCUCUGGAGAUUUGAAAGAAAACCUCAAGAGGGCUCUCCUAAGGCUUUAAGAUA